rnacentral:rRNA from 1 species
ACGUAGGUGGCAAGCGUUGUCCGGAUUUACUGGGCGUAAAGAGCGCGCAGGCGGUCGUUCAAGUCGCGUGUGAAAGCCCCCGGCUCAACUGGGGAGGGUCACGCGAUACUGAUCGACUCGAAGGCAGGAGAGGGUAGUGGAAUUCCCGGUGUAGUGGUGAAAUGCGUAGAUAUCGGGAGGAACACCAGUGGCGAAGGCGACUACCUGGUCCAGAUCUGACGCUGAGGUGCGAAAGCGUGGGGAGCAAACGGGA